GGCGAUUGCUAAGAAGAAUUCUUUUAAUCAGGGAUUUCGUGGGCCUUCACAUACAACCGGAAGGACAUCUUUCUCAGAUAUUCGUUUCAAUAUGACACAUAAAGGAGAGCGAAUAGAUAAGAUGAGUCUCUGGAAGAGGGCACACAACCUGAAUGAUCCUGAUGUGGUAGCAAUUGUGGAGGAAUAUAAUGCGCAUCUUUGGAAAGUUCCUAAGGAGCAACAUACGAUUGAGUAUUGCGAUG